rnacentral:rRNA from 1 species
AGGAUAAACGCUGGCGGCGUGCCUAACACAUGCAAGUCGAACGUCUCUUUCUUCGGGAAGAGGAGUGGCGGACGGGUGAGGAACACGUGGGAACCUGCCCUUCAGUGAGGAAUACCGGCGAGAAAUCGCCGACAAGACCGCAUAGCCCUCUCUGGUGAGAGCCAGAGAAGGAAAGCCUCGCAAGAGGCGCUGGAGGAGGGGCCUGCGUCCGAUUAGCUAGUUGGUGGGGUAAGAGCCUACCAAGGCGUCGAUCGGUAGCUGGUCUGAGAGGACGAUCAGCCACACUGGGAUUGAGAACGGCCCAGACUCCUACGGGGGGCAGCAGUGAGGAAUUUUCGGCAAUGGGGGAAACCCUGACCGAGCAACGCCGCGUGCAGGAAGACGGCCUUCGGGUUGUAAACUGCUUUCUUUGGGUACGAGCAAGGACAGUACCAGAGGAAUCAGCCCCGGCUCACUACGUGCCAGCAGCCGC